UACGAAGGGGGCUAGCGUUGCUCGGAAUCACUGGGCGUAAAGGGUGCGUAGGCGGGUCUUUAAGUCAGGGGUGAAAUCCUGGAGCUCAACUACAGAACUGCCUUUGAUACUGAAGAUCUUGAGUUCGGGAGAGGUGAGUGGAACUGCGAGUGUAGAGGUGAAAUUCGUAGAUAUUCGCAAGAACACCAGUGGCGAAGGCGGCUCACUGGCCCGGUACUGACGCUGAGGUGCGAAAGCGUGGGGAGCAAACAGG
rnacentral:rRNA from 1 species